UGCCACUGAUGCCAAUUGAUAGAGUUCAUUAGUCUGCGAUGAUAGGCUUAUCAUAAGCUUCAGAAACCAUGGUACACAAGUACGAGAUAAUAUUGUCAAGACAGCCAAAAAUGUUACUAGAAGCACCAACCUGAAAGCAUAAAUAUGUUGUAAGUGAAUAGGAGAAAAUGAAUCCAAAGAUUUAUGCAUGAAUAGUUUACAAUACAUGUGCACAAAUGUCUAUAUUAGAAUUCUGCAGUUGCAUAACAUUUUAGAUCCUACAAAUAUUGUUCAUAGCAUCAGCAUGAUCAAGUGUCCUUUUUCAAGUCAUUCUAUGUACAUAUCUUGAACCUUCAUAGUGUAUAUCCUCUUAUAAUUAACAGCUAAAUUUCAUCAACUAAAGGGAAAAAAAAAAUAUACUGCAGAAACCAAGGACAGGAAGAAUGGAUGUUUAUGUAAUGAAAAUUGCAGAAAUCAAAUGAAUAAACAGAUUUAAAUUGAUUAGAUUCUUACGAUUUAGUCAUGGACAUGACUCCUUGAAGAACACCAGAAGUACCACCAAGAACAGGAAGCAAAGCAAAAAGCAAACCAACUGCACAAUCCUGCAAGAUAAGGGUGCCAAUAGUGACUUGACCAUGAAGGGAAUUAAUACUAUUCUUCUCCAUCAAAAAUUUCAAAACCACAGCAGUAGAUGACAUAGACAGUAAAGCACCAACAAACACUCCCUCUGAAGAUUUGCCACCACAUAACUGCAAAAAGCAUGCCGCUAGACACAUCAAAAACUAGUAGCCAGGAAACAGAACAGUAUAAUGGUUAAACAAUUAAGCUGCCCUUUGAUUCAACUAAAUUUCAGUUACUUAAGUCCAAAAACAUCAAUGCAAACUCCAGGCUCAGUCAGGGGUUACCACUGAAAAUAGUGAUAUUAUGCUACGCCAGCCAUGGAGACAACCCAAGCACUGCCCUCCAAAACAAAUUAAAGUUUGAAUUGGAAUCCCCAUACCACAUGCUCAUACAUGCAUAUCAAUCUAACAUCGAGACUGUUAUUCCACACAAGCACAUAAAGAGGAAAAUCUGGAGAAGACCACCUAGAACAGCAACAGCUCGAACAACACGAAGCUUUGUUGUUGAGAAUUCUAGGCCCAACGCAAAUAGAAGAAAUACCACGCCAAACUGAGCCACUGUUUCAACCUGCACCAUUUCACUAACAAAGCUCAAGCCCCCAGGCCCAAUAAUAGAUCCUGCUAGCAGAUAUCCAGUAAUAACCGGUUGUCCAACACAGGCAAAUGCAAUGCCACCACAAGUUGCAGAUACAAUGACAACUACCAGAUCCGAUAUCAAUCUUAAAUCUAAUUGCAACACAGGGUACUUGGAUUUUGGGUUUGAUAUGAUAAAGACAUUGUCCUUUCUGUCAAUCAACGUUGGCAUAUCCUCUGCUCGAUUCUCAUUGUCCAAAUUGAAAACAUCAUGAAACUGAAAAGACUUCUCCUCCUUGGUGUCAUUUUUCUUUGAUUUAACUCUAGCAACAGUUUCCAAAACAGCCUGCUGUCCAGCAACACUGUUAUUGAAGCUACCAGGAUCAGCGGAUUCAUUCUGGUCGGUCUCGUUGAACUCCUUCUCCAAAGCCCGAUCAAUCAUGUCAGCGAAACUGUCCUCUCUGGAUCUCGAACGCGUGGCGUUCGACUCAGUUGUUGCAUUCAUCUCUACCGCUGAGUCGGAUUCGGUGACGGAGAGCGAGAGAAAGAAAGCACAAACGAACAACAGAACUAAAAGUAACCUCAUUGCAGAGAAAACGCUCCGAGAAAGAAAAGGAAAACGACGGUGCACCAGUGGCACCGACAAGUUAGCUAACCGGCGCUAUGGUUAUUAGAUUUUGUUUCACUGUAUGAUGAAGCACGAGAGGGAAAGUAUUUUAGUAAGCUUACAAAUGGAGGAUUUGAUGCGUAUUGGGUGAAAAUAUUCAGUGUAGCUGCUGCCCACUGUCUCUGGUUGAGGAUUAGAAGGUGGAGGAUGAAGAUUUAAUCUUAUGAUCGCAAAAUG
rnacentral:misc_RNA from 1 species